rnacentral:misc_RNA from 1 species
CUCUCUCUCUCUCUCUCUCUACAUCAAUGGAAUAUGCAAGUUUACAAUCUCAAUUUCCAAAAAGGUUCAUAUUUUAGACAAACAAUAACAUUGUGCACCAUUGCAAUCGUGUCUUCUUCUUCUCUCUCUAUAUAUUUCCAAUUGCAACUAGAUUGGAAAAUCUCCACUAAUACAUGAUUAUCACUUUUUCAAAUAUAACCAAGCCUCAGCAAUUCCCUCUCUCUCUCUGUAAUUUCAAUUGCAACUAGUUUAGAAUCUCCCCAUAGGUACAUAGGUAUUGCUCGUAAAAAAUAACAAAGCCUCAAGAAUGCCAUCUCAGACAAUAAACUACAAUUGUGAAUUGUGAUAUCAACAACCUAAUGAGAAGUUCACUCAUCAUUAAGUUUUUCUCAAUGUACUAUUUGUAUUACUAUUUAGCUCAAUAGCACUGACUACCAACCUACAGAUCUUCCAGAGCCAGAAACUAUAGUUUCUGCUAAGGGCAUUAAAGGGCCCACCAAAGAUUUUUGCAAUUGGAAUCCAUAAAGCAUGAGAUAUGCUAUUGAUCAAAAUAUAUCCAGGGUACAACAGAAUGCACCAGCAAUGAAGAAAAAUACCUGUUGUGUCCUAUCACCAUGUA